GUUAUUUGAGGUAGACAAUAGUGCCAUCCACACACCUUUAAAAUGUCAAAAGAAAUGCAGGACUUGGUACACCUGCCAAAUAGC
rnacentral:ncRNA from 12 species